AUACUACAUGGUAGCACAUACACUGAAGGUGGAAUGGUACAGAGAAGAUUAGUAUGGUCCCUGCAUGAGGAUGACAUGCAAAUUCAUGAAGCAUUCCAUUAAAAA